UAGGGAAUUUUGCACAAUGGACGAAAGUCUGAUGCAGCGACGUCGCGUGUGGGAUGUAGGGUUUCGGCUCGUAAACCACUAUCAGAUGGGAAGAUGGAAUUUACGGUUAAUAACCGUAAGUUUUGACUGUACCAUCAGAGGAAGCACCGGCUAACUACGUGCCAGCAGCCGCAGUAAUACGUAGGGUGCAAGCGUUACUCGGAAUCAUUGGGCGUAAAGGGUGCGUAGGCGGAAUUAUAAGUCAGGUGUGAAAGCCUUGGGCUCAACCCAAGAAGUGCAUUUGAUACUGUAAUUCUAGAGUACAGGAGAGGAAGGUGGAAUUCCCGGUGUAGAGGUGAAAUCCGUAGAUAUCGGGAGGAAUACCAGAGGCGAAGGCGGCCUUCUGGACUGAUACUGACGCUGAGGCACGAAAGCGUGGGGAGCAAACAGG
rnacentral:rRNA from 1 species